GACGAACGCUGGCAGCGUGCCUAAUACAUGCAAGUCGAGCGGACAGAAGGGAGCUUGCUCCCGGAAGUUAGCGGCGGACGGGUGAGUAACACGUGGGCAACCUACCCUGUAGAUCGGGAUAACAUCGAGAAAUCGGUGCUAAUACCGGAUAAUCAUUUGAAGUGCAUGCUUCGAAUGUAAAAGAUGGCUCCGGCUAUCACUACGGGAUGGGCCCGCGGCGCAUUAGCUAGUUGGUAAGGUAAUGGCUUACCAAGGCAACGAUGCGUAGCCGACCUGAGGGGGUGAUCGGCCACACUGGGACUGAGACACGGCCCAGACUCCUACGGGGGGCAGCAGUAGGGAAUCUUCCGCAAUGGACGAAAGUCUGACGGAGCAACGCCGCGCGAGUGAUGAAGGUUUUCGGAUCGUAAAGCUCUGUUGUUAGGGAAGAACAAGUGCCGUUUGAAUAAGGCGGCACCUUGACGGUACCUAACCAGAAAGCCACGGCUAACUACGUGCCAGCCGCCGCAGUAAUAC
rnacentral:rRNA from 1 species